UUCAAGAGUUCUUUAAAAAAUUUCAACUGGAUGCUACUCAAGGAAACAACGACGGGCUAUCAAGAUUCAGUUUGCAGAACACUGUGGUAAACUCGGUUUGUCCAGUUAUACCUCCUUAUCCAUCCACAAAAUACCGCUCUAUAGACGGCAGUUGCAAUAACCUGCAGAAUCCCACCUGGGGCAAGUCUUUUACUUCCUUCGUCCGUCUGUUGCGACCACAAUACGCUGAUGCAAGUGACGGCAGUGGUAUAGUAUGAUACAAAGAAUAGGUUUUAAAGAAUAUCAAGCUACGCCAUCCUGCAUGCUU